GAUGCGGGGCGCGCGGCACCUGCCAGCCACGCCCCGCGGGCUCCCGGGGCCCCGCCCCGCCCCGCCCCGCCCCGCCCCUGGGGCUCCACCCCGCGGGGCCCCGCCCGCCGCACCUGCCUCGGGGGGAGCCGUGUCCGUGGAAACGCGGAGAGCCGGUCCCCGCGGACUCGCCGUUACCCUGGCAACUGCGCGCCGGCUUUAGGCGGUCCGGGAAGGAUGUCAGGGGAUGCCUGCUCCAAACCACAGAUUCCGGUUCACGAGGCCCCAAAAGUGUAUCACGUGGACCCACUACAUUGAAUAGCAAUACAUUUUUGGAAUAGAACAAAGAAAGGAAAAGAAAACAAUCAGAAGUGCAAUGCACUCCACUACGGGCCAUGCAUUGUCCAGCGAGGGAAACUGGCUUGUUCUGAGCACCGACUCCAGGGCCCUCUGCAAGACUUUCAAUGCAGCUGUCCCAGACUCUGGGAGAACAUUUAAAUACAGGUCCUGUUUGGCAACCAGAGCAACGCUUCCUGAAUUUGUAAUUAGUAAAUUUUCCAGAGGAGGGCACUCAUUCCCCAGGCUACUCAAAGGAACCCCUUGCCGAAGUGGAGCAGCAAAGAACAAAAGAGGCACAUUCCACCCAGAGGAUUAAGAACAAAAGGGUAAAUUAAAAACAAACAAAAAAAAAAAAACAAGAGAAACUCGGUACUUAUUGUGGCCUCCCAUAAUCUCCACAAACAGCCUCUAACUCGACCACAGCUUGUCUCAGACAGGCCGAAUAUUGCAUUAAAAAUAAACUAGCAAGCACUGGUUUUUCCAAGACAUUGUUUAGUGUAGCAAUACCAUCCUAGGAAUGCCCAUUUAUUCACUGGUCGAUUUUGCCUGAACUCUAUUUUCCCAGAAUGAAACGCAUGCAGGCACUGCCGCUUCCAAAACAAUCUAUUUUAACAUGAGUCAUGUUCGGUGGGACAGUAGCCGAAGUGCCCUGUUUUGCAAGCCAGCGGUCACUCAGCACGCCCCCAAAUCCUGCCCCAUGGGCUUAUCCCUGGCUUUGUUUGUUCUCCACGGAAAACACAUCUCAUCCACACCAAUAGCUUUACUCAAAUAAUUAUGCUUUUAAAAAACCCAGAGCCACUUUCCUGGUCUGUUUUUAAGAAAACAGUACAUAUUCCUCAGCAAACACAAAGAAAGCAGUAUCUCAGAGCGACAACUCAAAGCAAACACACAAAUGGAACCCAACCCCUUGUUUACUUACAGGUCUUUAAGCUCCUAACAUUGACAUCAGUUCCUCAGGUCUCCUGUGCAUUUUCUUCCCUAUAGCAAACAACAGUACUUUAAUCUGCAAAGAGUCAGGCUCUGUUGCUCCAGAAAGAUGGGUUAAUUGUCCCUCCAAGGACCGAAGAGUGAACAGAGCUGGAGAGCUGACAGGCUGUGUCAUGGGGAGCAACAGGCCCGAAGUCUGGCUGCGCAAAACGAGCUCUGCUGCAGAAAGUCUGGCCACGCAUUAAGGAGUCGGGGCUAAAGAUCCCGCAGGAGAGACACACAAUCGGACGGUUACAGUGUUCGAGAAGGAUCCCGCUAUAGCUUUUCCUUAGGGUCUGUUUGAAAGUAUUACAUUGAACUUCAGCUCGCCUUUCCAAAAAGUAUUUUUAGAAGCAAUUAGGGUAAAAGCCUUGAGCUCCUUGGGGUUUUAUCUAUACGGCUAUCUCUUGGCCUGCAGGACCCUAAGGUAUUGAAUUAAGUGAGGCUCCUCUUAAAAAGCAGGGGCUCCCAUAUAUGGAGCAAGCAGCCACACUUGCAGGGCACCGGCUGGAACGCAUCUGGAAGAGGCCAGGUGCGUCAGGCCAGGUGUGUCAGGCCAGGUGUGUCAGGCCCGGUGUGUCGGGAGGAGGCCGCCGAGGAUGCGAGAGCCGGUUGUCUUCGCAGUUGGUCUCCCCUGCAGGGCAUGUGAGGCCCUGGUGGAGUUUUUUUUUUUUUUUUUUUUUUUUUUUUCUUGGGAGAACCUAUUUUUAUUCCCGGUUGAGACCCUGAGUCUCUUCUCUCCAUGUCGAAGGGUCCAGCAGUGUCAGGGCACAGUGAGGUCAGUAUCUGCCCCUCAGCAAACCACCCCCAGGCCCUGGCCACCGCUCUCAUGCCAGCUGAUGAGGAGCUGAGCCAGCCAGCUUUCCUCAGGACGGACGAUGGCUUCAUGAGAAACACAAACAUAUUUGCAGUGAAAUAAGGAGUCUCUAUCUUAACCAGAAAGGGGUGCAAAUUGUGGCAUCUCAGGCACUGAGGCAGGCGAGGGGAGAUGGGGUUUGAAGAUUAAGGGUCUCCUGCAGUGUAUGGGGGACCGUCCUCCCCUCUCUGCAUUGACAGUCUCUGAUCCCCAGCCAGGCUGCCUCCCACCUACACUCCUCUCGAAAUACCGAGGGUGCAGAGAACCCCCCCUCCCCGCCCAGAGAACCCAGAAGGUGGCCGCACAUCUGACACACAGGCCCCAGAUCCUGCUCUGGCUUUUAAACUAUAGAGCAACAGGAUUGUCCAAAAGGAGCUAAGAGGGAAAUGCUACUUGAUGGCAAAACACUAGAGCUGUGGAGUUCCGC
rnacentral:lncRNA from 1 species